UGCGCCUUGCCAGCCCGCUCAGAAACUUAAAGGAAAUUGACGGGGGCCCGGCACAAGCGGCGGAGCAUGUGGAUUAAUUCGAUGCAACGCGAAGAACCUUACCUGGGUUUGACAUACACCGGAAAACCGUAGAGAUACGGUCCCCCUUGUGGUCGGUGUACAGGUGGUGCAUGGCUGUCGUCAGCUCGUGUCGUGAGAUGUUGGGUUAAGUCCCGCAACGAGCGCAACCCUUGUCUUAUGUUGCCAGCACGUAAUGGUGGGGACUCGUAAGAGACUGCCGGGGUCAACUCGGAGGAAGGUGGGGACGACGUCAAGUCAUCAUGCCCCUUAUGUCCAGGGCUUCACACAUGCUACAAUGGCCAGUACAGAGGGCUGCGAGACCGUGAGGUGGAGCGAAUCCCUUAAAGCUGGUCUCAGUUCGGAUCGGGGUCUGCAACUCGACCCCGUGAAGUCGGAGUCGCUAGUAAUCGCAGAUCAGCAACGCUGCGGUGAAUACGUUCCCGGGCCUU
rnacentral:rRNA from 1 species